rnacentral:rRNA from 1 species
AUUGAACGCUGGCGGCAGGCUUAACACAUGCAAGUCGAGCGGGGUGAUGGUGCUUGCACUAUCACUUAGCGGCGGACGGGUGAGUAAUGCUUAGGAAUCUGCCUAUUAGUGGGGGACAACAUCUCGAAAGGGAUGCUAAUACCGCAUACGUCCUACGGGAGAAAGCAGGGGAUCACUUGUGACCUUGUGCUAAUAGAUGAGCCUAAGUCGGAUUAGCUAGUUGGUGGGGUAAAGGCCUACCAAGGCGAGGAUCUGUAGCGGGUCUGAGAGGAGUAGCGGCCACCCUGGGACUGAGAAACGGCCCAGACUCCUACGGGAGGCAGCAGUGGGGAAUCUUGGACAAUGGGGGGAACCCUGAUCCAGCCAUGCCGCGUGUGUGAAGAAGGCCUUAUGGUUGUAAAGCACUUUAAGCGAGGAGGAGGCUUACCUAGUUAAUACCUGGGAUAAGUGGACGUUACUCGCAGAAUAAGCACCGGCUAACUCUGUGCCAGCAGCCGCCGUAA